GGGUAGAGCACUGUUUCGGCUAGGGGGCCAUCCCGGCUUACCAACCCGAUGCAAACUGCGAAUACCGGAGAAUGUUAUCACGGGAGACACACGGCGGGUGCUAACGUCCGUCGUGAAGAGGGAAACAACCCAGACCGCCAGCUAAGGUCCCAAAGUCAUGGUUAAGUGGGAAACGAUGUGGGAAGGCCCAGACAGCCAGGAUGUUGGCUUAGAAGCAGCCAUCAUUUAAAGAAAGCGUAAUAGCUCACUGGUCGAGUCGGCCUGCGCGGAAGAUGUAACGGGGCUAAACCAUGCACCGAAGCUGCGGCAGCGACGCUGAUGCGUUGUUGGGUAGGGGAGCGUUCUGUAAGCCUGCGAAGGUGGCCUGUGAGGGUUGCUGGAGGUAUCAGAAGUGCGAAUGCUGACAUAAGUAACGAUAAAGCGGGUGAAAAGCCCGCUCGCCGGAAGACCAAGGGUUCCUGUCCAACGUUAAUCGGGGCAGGGUGAGUCGACCCCUAAGGCGAGGCCGAAAGGCGUAGUCGAUGGGAAACGGGUUAAUAUUCCCGUACUUGGUGUUACUGCGAAGGGGGGACGGAGAAGGCUAUGUUGGCCGGGCGACGGUU
rnacentral:rRNA from 1 species